rnacentral:lncRNA from 1 species
AAGGCUGUCGUGAGAGGCUGCCAUGCAUGAACGACAUACAUUCAGACGCACGUGUGUCUUAUUCUUAUUUAGUUCAUAAACAAGGUAUUACAAUUGAAGUACUAUAAGAUGCAUAUACCACAAUUUUACCUUCUUUAACGCAUAAUAUGAUCAUGUUCUACGUAGUGCAAUUAUUAGUUCAUAACAGAGCAAACACAUAUAUAUAUGAUUAAGUACGAAGCUGAUCUCCCCGCUCCUCCUCCUCCUAAACGGCGUCGUUCUAGUUCUUAAGGAUUGCUUCUACAGCAUCGCCCUUGUUGUUGUCACCUUGCUUGCCGAAUACCCAAAAGAAAGGCAUCAACAUAUCAUCGCUGCUCUCACCCUGCUGCUGCUGCUGCUUGCCGAAUAUCCAAAAGAAAGGCAUCAGCAUAUCAUCGCUGCUCUCGGCCUCCUGCUGCUGUCCUUCCUUGCCGAAUAUCCAAAAGAAUGGCAGCAACAUAUCAUCGCUGCUCUCGGCCUCCUGCUGCUGUCCUUCCUUGCCGAAUAUCCAAAAGAAUGGCAUCAACAUAUCAUCGCUGCUCUCCUCGGCCUCCUGCUGCUGUCCUUCUUUUCCGAAUAUCCAAAAGAAUGGCAUCAACAUAUCAUCGGCGGCCAUCUCCUGGCCACUUGCAGCUGCAUCAUUGUGAAGAAUUUAUGUCCUUCGGCCUAAAUCCGAAUCCGAAUAAAAACUAGGGAGGCUGAUUAAUCAAAAGUAAUUCGGUCCAGUUAGGAGUUAACACAUCUUAUUAGAGGUCAAUGUUAAUUAGUAGUUUGGACCACGACUAAUCGAAUCGGGUCCUACAAAGUCACACACUUUCACACGCUUUUUUAGUAAUAUGGACACACACUUUUUUAGUAGUAUGGACCGGAUUAAUGUAAAUGGAUUAGCUUAAUGAGUUGAUGGUCAAAUAGGGUGAAAGUUUAUGAGAAAUUCUAUAAAUAGAGGGUUAGUUGUAAUAGUUUAUCUACAACUGAUGGUUAGUUGUAAUAGUUUAUCUACAACUGAUGGUUAGUUGUAAUAGUUUAUCUACAACUGAUGGUUAGUUGUAAUAGUUUAUCUACAACUGAUGGUUAGUUGUAAUAGUUUAUCUACAACUGAUGGUUAGUUGUAAUAGUUUAUCUACAACUGAUGGUUAGUUGUAAUAGUUUAUCUACAACUGAUGGUUAGUUGUAAUAGUUUAUCUACAACUGAUGGUUAGUUGUAAUAGUUUAUCUACAACUGAUGGUUAGUUGAAAUACUUUGAUAAAUCGUUUUUCGAUCAAACGUUUUAGCCAGUAUUGACAAAGAAAAUCCAAAAUCCAAUUAGCGUAAACUGAAAAAAGAAGCUACACAUGAAAUUCUCACAAGUCGUAAUCAAUCUAAAGGCUUCAGCAAGUACUAGUCAUUAAACCAAAGGCUUCAGCAAAUACUAAUCAUUGAUUAGUACUAAAAACCUUUGUUAUUGAUUUAUAUAAGAAAGUUAUUGAUUUAUAUAAGAAAGAUAUAAGAAAGUUAGAUAUAAUGAUGGGAUUAGUUAAUAUGCAUCUAAACGAUAUCUAAACAAUUUCCUACACCUUGUUCUCGCCAUCCCCAAUAUAAAAAGCAAGAGUGGAAACAACAAACCAUCCUGAUCAUUAUCAUGGCCAGCAACAGCAUCCUUUCCGAAUACAUCAUCAAUACCCAAGAAUAAACUAGCAUCUCCUUUCGGGUAGGGGCGUUUGCAUGAUGAUGAUGAGACAACAGCUUUCACUGUUGACGACGUUGUUUUGUUGGGAUUAAGGAAAAGGUUUGGUGUCUUGUUCUUCGAGGGUAGGAAGGCGUUAUUACGGCCGCCGGCGCCGGUAGCAACUAGGCUAGCGGUGGCCAGAGCGAGAGAGGAAGCAGCAGCCAUGGAUGAUCUCUAGCUUAAUACUAUAGCUUAAACAGUUGGUUGAGAUCGAUGG